AUUGUUAGAUAAAAGAAAUGGUGACCCCCUUAAGAGGCAAAAUACUAGCCUUGAGUGUUGUGGGAUAUAUCGUGAUUGGUUACUAACUCUUCUAAUGGCUCAGGCAGCCCCCAAAGCUAAGACUCCUAAGCCCAAAGGAAGAUGAGAGCUGAAAGGAACAUUGAGCUCAUCCAGUGCAGUGCUUCUCAGCUUGUGCCCACAUUGACUUCACUUGGAAAUAUUUGAGAAAUACUGAUGCCUGGGCCCCAUUCCAGACCAAUUAAAUCAGAGUGUCUGGGAGAGACACGCAGAAAGUGUAGGUGACAUCAACAGGAUGUGGGGUUUCAGGAUGAGCCUUGAAUCGCAUGAAAUGAAUUAAACCUCACAACUCCUUGGAACAGGAACCUGUUUUCAUAUGUGUACAUGGUUUUCACAAUGUGACGAACUAAGUUGGACAUGAUACUCUGAUAAGGGUCUGACUGCUGCAGAGUGUAUUGGAACCACUGGGCUAGGAUUCAGAAAGAUUCUAGCUCCUUGACUGCCAGGAACUAGUGGUUUGACCUUGGACAAGCCACUUACCCUGUCUGGACUUCAUGCUCUUCAUCACUAAAGUGAGAGACUUACAAACCCCAGUGACUAUGUUGCUGGAAGGACUGAGCUGACUUUCGAAAGUGAGAGUGGCAUGUGGUCCUUAACAUCUCUGGUCUUUAACAACUCCCAUGGAGACCUCUGGCCUGGGGCAGUGGAAGAACCACAGACCUGGAACCAGAGGGCCUGGGCUUCUACCCCAGGUCCUGCAUGCCCUACCUCGAUGACCUUGGAUAUAUGGUUUGAAUCUUUGUCCCCAUACAAAUCUCACGCUGAAUUGUGAACCCCCGUGUUAGAGAUGGGGCCUGGUGGGAGGUGAUUGGAUCAUGGCGGGGGAGAUUUCUAAUGGUUUAGCACCAUC